rnacentral:rRNA from 1 species
UUCGCAAUGCCCGAAAGGGUGACGAAGCGACGCCGCGUGUGGGAAGAAGGCCUUCGGGUUGUAAACCACUGUUGGGAGUUAGGAAGUGUGGAGGUGUUAAUAGCGCUUUCACUUGACUAAAGCUCCAGAGGAAGCCACGGCUAACUCUGUGCCAGCAGCCGCGGUAAUACAGAGGCGGCAAGCGUUGUUCGGAAUUAUUGGGCGUAAAGAGCACGUAGGCGGCUCUGCAAGUCAGCUGUGAAAGCCUUCUGCUUAACGGAAGAACGGCAGUUGAAACUACAGGGCUUGAGUACGGGAGGGGAGAGUGGAACUUCUGGUGGAGCGGUGAAAUGCGUAGAUAUCAGAAGGAACACCGGCGGCGAAAGCGGCUCUCUGGUCCGUAACUGACGCUGAGUGUGCGAAAGCUAGGGGAGCAAACGGGAUUAGAUACCCCGGUAGUCCUAGCCGUAAACGAUGGGCACUAAGUAGAG